rnacentral:rRNA from 1 species
AGCUCUGCGUGCGUAUAUCAAUGCUGAUGCGGUUAAAACGCUCGUAGUCGGAGGUUGGCGGGGGUGUGCGUCAGUGCCGAUGAGGCGUGGCGCGCGCCGCUGCUUUUGUGGAUGCUGCCGCGCGGGGCCUUAGUUGGCUUGGUGCGUGCGGCGCCACUGUUUACUGUGAAUAAAUUAGGGUGUUCAAAGCAGGCGUUUGCCGUGAAUAUACUAGCAUGGAAUAAUAGAAUAGGACCUCUUUUGGCCUAUUUUGUUGGUUUGUGAGGCGGAGGUAAUGAUUAAGAGGGACGGUUGGGGGCAUUUGUAUUGCGGCGUCAGAGGUGAAAUUCUUGGAUUGCCGCAAGACAAACAGCUGCGAAAGCGUCUGCCAAGGACGUUUUCAU